CCUACGGGUGGCUGCAGUAAGGAAUAUUGGUCAAUGGACGCAAGUCUGAACCAGCCAUGCCGCGUGGAGGAUGAAGGUCCUCUGGAUUGUAAACUUCUUUUAUUUGGGAAGAAACUCCCGAUUUCCAUCGGGAUUGACGGUACCAGAUGAAUAAGCACCGGCUAACUCCGUGCCAGCAGCCGCGGUAAUACGGAGGGUGCAAACGUACUCGGGUUUCACGGGGUUUAAAUGGUCAGGUAGUGGGCUGGUGAAAUCUACGGGCUUAACCCGGAAACUGCCAUUGAUACUAUUUGUCUUGAAUACUCUGGAGGUGAGCGGAAUAUGUCAUGUAGCGGUGAAAUGCUUAGAUAUGACAUAGAACACCCAUUGCGAAGGCAGCUCACUACGGAAAUAUUGACGCUGAGGCACGAAAGCGUGGGGAUCAAACAGGAUUAGAUACCCCAGUAGUC
rnacentral:rRNA from 1 species